rnacentral:lncRNA from 1 species
GUGUUCGGGGUAGAGAAGCAGAGUUUGAUCUCAGUGCUGCUUCUUCUUCUAAGCCACCAUGUUCAGAGAGCUAAGCAUAAGGCAGAAUGGAGGUGGUCACAAGAUGUCACUGAUGGGUUGUUCUGAAAGCAUUUGCCCCCUGCCACCCCCACCAAGCAGAGUCCUACCCGCUUACGAAAGCAGUUUCUUUGAGGUCAAAGGCUGAGAACAAACUGCAAAUAAAAGCAUCAGCCUCCUUUGCAGCUGACUCACUUAGGUCACCCCAGGGAGCAGCCAAACCGCUGUGUAAG